GACGAACGCUGGCGGCGUGCCUAAUACAUGCAAGUUGAGCGCUGAAGGUUGGUACUUGUACCGACUGGAUGAGCAGCGAACGGGUGAGUAACGCGUGGGGAAUCUGCCUUUGAGCGGGGGACAACAUUUGGAAACGAAUGCUAAUACCGCAUAAAAACUUUAAACACAAGUUUUAAGUUUGAAAGAUGCCAUUGCAUCACUCAAAGAUGAUCCCGCGUUGUAUUAGCUAGUUGGUGAGGUAAAGGCUCACCAAGGCGGUGAUACAUAGCCGACCUGAGAGGGUGAUCGGACACAUUGGGACUGAGACACGGCCCAAACUCCUACGGGAGGCAGCAGUAGGGAAUCUUCGGCAAUGGACGAAAGUCUGACCGAGCAACGCCGCGUGAGUGAAGAAGGUUUUCGGAUCGUAAAACUCUGUUGGUAGAGAAGAACGUUGGUGAGAGUGGAAAGCUCAUCAAGUGACGGUAACUACCCAGAAAGGGACGGCUAACUACGUG
rnacentral:rRNA from 1 species